rnacentral:rRNA from 1 species
UACAGAGGUGGCAAGCGUUGUUCGGAAUUACUGGGCGUAAAGGGCGCGUAGGCGGUUCGAUAAGUCCCGUGUGAAAGCCCCCGGCUCAACUGGGGAACUGCACGGGAAACUGACGGACUUGAGUUCGGGAGAGGGAAGCGGAAUUCCGGGUGUAGCGGUGAAAUGCGUAGAUAUCCGGAGGAACACCGGUGGCGAAGGCGGCUGCCUGGACCGACACUGACGCUGAGGCGCGAAAGCUAGGGGAGCAAACGGG